rnacentral:piRNA from 2 species
UAAACAGAACUGGACAGUGUUGGGC